rnacentral:lncRNA from 1 species
CCAAGCUUCACUUUGGUCCAUGAGUUGAACUCCAUGCGUGUAUUAAAUAAAAAUGAUGGUGUCCCAAUGCAAUUAUACGUGCGAAUCCAUUACAGCUUGAACUUUAUCGUGUUUCCUGUUUGGUAGCAUGCAAACACACUCAUGAAAUGCGAAAAGAUGUGUCCAGCUCUCGGUUUCUCUUCCUCCAUCUUAUGCAUAAGCUCAACAUUAAUUAUUGAGUUUCAUAUCCAAACUGACGCAAAAGCUGUAAAAUUGAAGCUGUACAAUUUAUUUAUUAUUAUUUUUUUUGGUAAUAACUUCCAUGUGUUGUAUCUCUAAUUAGAUACAAGAGACUUUGGACUUUUGUACCUGCAAAAUGAAAAAACGUUAGUGAGUGUUUUGUUUCGUGAUGCCCUUACGUCCUUCAGUUUCCUUCCCUAGUUUCUUGCCACUCUUAUUCUCAGUUUUGCACAUUGAAGCUUAUCAUCAUUUACGAUCUUUCUGCUCA